GUUAGGAAUAUUGGACAAUGGGCGCAAGCCUGAUCCAGCCAUGCCGCGUGAACGAUGAAGGCCUUCGGGUUGUAAAGUUCUUUAGCCGAUGAUUAUAAUGACUGUAGUCGGAAAAUAAGCCCCGGCUAACUUCGUGCCAGCAGCCGCGGUAAUACGAAGGGGGCGAGCGUUAUUCGGAAUCACUGGGCGUAAAGCGUGCGUAGGCGGUCUCGUAAGUUAGGAGUGAAAGCCCAGGGCUCAACCUUGGAAUUGCUCUUAAUACUGCAAGGCUAGAAUCUCGGAGAGGAUAGCGGAAUUUCCAGUGUAGCAGUGAAAUGCGUAGAUAUUGGAAGGAACACCAGUGGCGUAAGCGGCUAUCUGGACGAGCAUUGACGCUGAGGCACGAAAGCGUGGGGAUCAAACAGGAUUAGAAACCCUGGUAGUCC
rnacentral:rRNA from 1 species